UGCACGCAUCGUGCUGUGUGGGAUUAGAAAUUAUCUAAUAAUCAUAAGCUGUUAUCAAAACAGCUACAACAAAGCAAGGCAUCACCAGGGGAAAACAUUCUGUUUCACAAGAUGUAAAGAACAAUUGCGCAAAGGUAUCUAUCUCCCGAUUUCUGUUCUCUGUGACAGCAUAUAAAAGUGCUCAUAGCUCGGGUCUCUGUAGCUGCCUCCACUGACUUAUUCUUCUUGGUGACUGGGUUGAUUACCUUCUGGAAAGAUGUCUUCCUAUGGACAGAUGCUUAGUGCCCGUUGUGGUCCACCGUGUGAAGUGACAUGCUCACAACCAUUUGUCGACAGUAGGAAUGAACCAUGUGUCAGCUCAUGCGGAGAUUCAAGAGCAAUUGUGUAUGCACCACCUGUUGUCGUGACUUUCCCAGGACCCAUUAUCAGCUCAUGCCCUCAGGAAAGCAUUGUGGGAACUGCCAUACCUGAAAUUGAGGGUCAGAUGGGCUCUGGAGGUGGCGGAAUGGGCUCUGGAGGUGGUGGAAUGGGAUCUGGAGGUGGCGGAAUGGGCUCUGGAGGUGGCGGAAUGGGAGAGUGUCCACAUGGUGGGGGGAGCUCAUGUGGCAGUGGAAUCUUCCCUUUAGGAAGCUUUUACCGAAACACAUAUUUUUCAAGAUUUGGUAGAUAUUAUUCCCCCUUUUCUCCCAGAGGAUACUAUAGGUAUCGCUAUGGAAACUACGGGCCAUUUUAAAUCUUUAAGAACGAGUCAUGACUGAAAGAACAAUCAGAUACAAACUAAUAGUUGACAUAUAGAUCUGAAAAUCAGACACACCAAGCAGCCUCUGCUCCAGCUGAUGUCAGUAGGAGCCGGGGUUGCUUGGGAUCUUCUUGCGCUAUGUUAUGUCUAAGGCUUAUGAUCCCAAUGUUGCCUCACUUUGUCAUUUGCUCAUGUUAUGUUUUGUUCUUUCUGAACCUGAAGAGACUAAGAAAUGUAAUGGGACCUGACCGUGAAAGUGUCUAGCUGAAAGAAGAAUGGAUUGUGAGCCCUGUGCUCCUCUGAACACUGAUUGAUUGUAGUCCUUGUUGAAAUGGAAAUGACAGUCUUUGUCUAUGCAUUGCCUCAUUCUGCAAGAAUGUAUUCCACUUCUUGUUUGUAUUAAAGCCCUGUUGCAUCAUA